rnacentral:rRNA from 1 species
GAUCCUGGCUCAGAACGAACGCUGGCGGCGUGGAUUAGGCAUGCAAGUCGAACGGGAUCCUAUCGCUUCAAUCUUUCGAGAGAGAAGCUUUAGGUGAGAGUGGCGAACUGGUGAGGAACGCGUGGGCAACUUGCCCUUGAGUUCGGGAUAGCCUUCCGAAAGGAGGGGUAAUACCGGAUGUGGUCAUCCUUCGCAUGAAGGAUUAUCCAAAGGUGGGGAUCUUCGGACCUACUGCUCAAGGAUGGGCCCGCGUAUUAUCAGCUUGUUGGUGGGGUAACGGCUCACCAAGGCUUUGACGAUUAGCUGGUCUGAGAGGAUGGUCAGCCACACUGGGACUGAGACACUGCCCAGACUCCUACGGGAGGCUGCAGUCGAGAAUCAUUCACAAUGCACGAAAGCGUGAUGAUGCGACGUCGCGUGGAGGAUGAAGGCUUUCGGGUCGUAAACUCCUGUCAUGGGGGAACAAGGGUCUUGCUGUUAAUACCAGUGGGAUUUGAUGGUACCUCAAGAGGAAGCCACGGCUAACUCUGUGCCAGCAGCCGCGGUAAUACAGAGGUGGCGAGCGUUGUUCGGAUUUACUGGGCGUAAAGGGUGCGUAGGCGGCCAUGUGUGUCGGGUGUGAAAUCUCACUGCUCAACGGUGAAACGGCAUCCGAAACUGCGUGGCUAGAGUACUGGAGAGGAGAGCGGAAUUCUUGGUGUAGCGGUGAAAUGCGUUGAUAUCAAGAAGAACACCGGUGGCGAAGGCGGCUCUCUGGACAGAUACUGACGCUGAGGCACGAAAGCUGGGAGCGAACAGGAUUAGAUACCCUGGUAGUCCCAGCCGUAAACGUUGUGCACUUGGUGUGGGGACCGUUGUCGUCUCCGUGCCGGAGCUAACGCGUUAAGUGCACCGCCUGGGGAGUACGGCCGCAAGGCUAAAACUCAAAGGAAUUGACGGGGGCCCGCACAAGCGGUGGAGCAUGUGGCUUAAUUCGAUGCAACGCGAAGAACCUUACCUGGGCUUGACAUGGUACUGCACGCCCUCCGAAAGGGGGGAAGCCUUCGAGGGUGUACCACAGGUGCUGCAUGGCUGUCGUCAGCUCGUGCCGUGUGGUGUUGGGUUAAGUCCCGCAACGAGCGCAACCCUUGUGGUUAGUUGCUAACAGGGUCGAAAGAUCGCUGAGAACUCUAACCAGACUGCCUGUGACAAGCAGGAGGAAGGUGGGGAUGACGUCAAGUCAGUAUGGUCCUUAUGUCCAGGGCUGCACACGUGCUACAAUGGUCGGUACAGAAGGAUGCUAAACCGCGAGGUGGAGCAAAUCCCCAAAACCGGCCCCAGUUCGGAUCGAAGUCUGCAACUCGACUUCGUGAAGCCGGAAUCGCUAGUAAAGGCGUAUCAGCUACGACGCCUUGAAUACGUUCCCGGGCCUUGUACACACCGCCCGUCACAUCACGAAAGCCGAUUGCACCCGAAGUCGCCGGGCCAACCCUUUAUUGGGAGGCAGGUGCCGAA